rnacentral:rRNA from 1 species
CCUGGCUCAGGACGAACGCUGGCGGCGUGCCUAAUACAUGCAAGUCGAACGCUGAAUGAAGGAGCUUGCUCUUUCCGGAUGAGUUGCGAACGGGUGAGGAACGCGUAGGUAACCUGCCUGGUAGCGGGGGAUAACUAUUGGAAACGAUAGCUAAUACCGCAUAACAGUAGAUAUCGCAUGAUCACUCCUUGAAAGGUGCAAUUGCACCACUACCAGAUGGACCUGCGUUGUAUUAGCUAGUUGGUGGGGUAACGGCUCACCAAGGCGACGAUACAUAGCUGACCUGAGAGGGUGAUCGGCCACACUGGGACUGAGACACGGCCCAGACUCCUACGG